AGCACAAUAGCUCAGGGUGUUGCGAGGCUAAUCAUCAGGCAGUAAAAGGAUAACCACUGAUUUUCAUCACUGCUGGAGCUGACCUGACUACAAUGGAUACUGGACAAAUCCUAUCAAUACUGCUGAUACUAUCAGUGGCUAUGGACUUUGUUCCUACUUCAACUUCUGCAGAAACGAUUACAACUGUAGAUCCAACUAGUGUUUGGUCAACAACAGAUCCACAAUCAACAACAAUGGGAGAGUUAACAACUGCAGAAUCAUCAGCCACUCCUGAAUCAACAACAAUGGAAGAAACAACAAAUACAGGGUCAACAGAAGCUCCUGAAUCAACAACUGUAGGGUCAACAGCACCUCCACAAUCGACAACAAUGGGAGAGUCAACAACUGCAGAAUCAACAGCAGCUCCACAAUCAACAACAAUGGGAGAGUCAACAACUACAGAAUCAACAGCUGCUCCUGAAUCAACAACAAUGAGAGAGUCAACAACUACAGAAUCAACAGCUGCUCCACAAUCAACAACAAUGGGAGAGUCAACAACUACAGAAUCAACAGCUGCUCCACAAUCAACAACAAUGGAAGAAACAACAAAUACAGGGUCAACAGAAGCUCCUGAAUCAACAACUGUAGGGUCAACAGCAGCUCCACAAUCGACAACAAUGGGAGAGUCAACAACUACAGAAUCAACAGCUGCUCCACAAUCAACAACAAUGGGAGAAACAACAAAUGCAGGGUCAACAGCAGCUCCCGAAUCAACAACUGUAGGGUCAACAGCACCUCCACAAUCAACAACAAUGGGAGAGUCCACAAUUGCAGGAUCAACAGCCGCUCCACAAUCAACAACAAGGGGAGAAACAACAACUGCAGGGUCAACAGCAGCUCCUGAAUUAACAACAGUAUCUCCUGGGUCAACCAGAAUGCCAAUGACAACUGAGGGAUUGACCACAAAUGGGACAAUAACAGCAAUUGUAACCACAACUGGGGUACCAAUGACAUCAGGUAGAACAACCACAAGUGAUAUUACAAGUGCAACCACAAAUGAGAUUUCAAUAGCAACUCAAGCAAUGAACUCUACUCUUCACCCAACCACAACCAUGCUAACAACAAGUACCACUGAAGCGCCACCACCAACGGUGGUUUUUACAUUUGUCAUUGUGGUUGUGUUUACACCUGAGCUAAACAAUCGCGACAGUGAGGCAUUUCGGGAGCUCGAGACACAGCUGGUAUCAGCGUGUAUUGUCAUCUACAAUGGGUUUACGUCUUUCACCGGCUGUUUUGUCAGAGGGUUCAGACCUGCAGCCAGUUCCAGGGAGCGAAGUCGGAGAGCCACGGGAAAUACAGAGGCAGAUAUAGGAGUUCAGUUCAAUUCAACUGCACCAGCAUCAGAAAUUCCAGAGGCCAAUGCUGUUGUAAAUUCUUUGAAAGAGGCUGUUGCCAGUCCCAACAACACUUUCAACGUUACAUUUGUACCUAAUUCUGUCCGACUAGUUGAAACAAAUGCUACAACUCCAGCCCCUAAUGUUACAACCGCAGCCCCCAACGCUACAUCUGUUGCUCCAAAUGCUACCACCUCAGCCUCCAAUGCUACAACAGCAGCAACCAAUGCAACAACUGCUGCUUCUAGUGCUGCAACGGCAGCAGCCAACGCAACAACUGCUGCUUCUAGUGCUGCAACGGCAGCAGCCAACGCAACAACUGCUGCAACGGCAGCAGCCAACGCAACAACUGCUGCUUCUAGUGCUGCAACGGCAGCAGCCAACGCAACAAUUGCUGCUUCUAGUGCUGCAACGGCAGCGCCCAAUGCAACAAUUGCUGCUACUAACGCAACCACCGCUGCUCCCAUUGCUCCCACUCAGGCUGUGACCACACCCACAACAACUGCUGUAGCAUCAGUAGAAACGGCGCUAACUUUCACAUCCCCUGGAGAGACAUUCACCUCAGAUUUGUUGAUUUCUGGAUCUCAAGCAUUUAUAGAUCGAUCAGCGAAUAUGAUAAGAGUUCUUAACCGUAUAUACAGCCCAGCAUUCUCUACAUUUGUCAAUUCAUCUGUGCGGGGAUACAGACAAGGAUCGAUCAUUAAUGAUGUGAGCCUUCGGUUUGCAGCCUCCUCAGUCCCUAAUGGCACACAGAUUGCAAACACUUUAAUUUCUGCAGCUCCCAGCAUCACAGAAUUCACCAUUGACACAAGCUCUAUUACUGUGAACGGCACCGCGUCAAGCGGAGUCACUCACAAGAUCAGUCUCAUCACUGCAUCCUGCACGGUGCUGCUGUCAAUGCUACUGUCAAGGCUACACUAGCAUGUGUGCUAACAUUCAUGUAAACUCUCCAAAGGGAACGCAUGCCAUCACUGGUUUGAAAAAGGACUUUAUUGGCCAAACGGGGGUGUGAUGUGUCUCUGAUUUCUUUUUUUUUUUUUGUUGAUGUACUGAGAAGUUGGUUUGUCAGGAUAUCUCACAAAAGCCUAUGUAAUCAAUAUUAGCAGCAUCUGAUUAGCCUUUAAGGAAACCUUGCAUUCUAGAUGUACUUAAGAACUAUAAUUUUGUAGGUAUUUAAACGCCUCAGCUUGUCAUUGGUGUCAGUGGCCCCUCUGGUUGACAAGUUACUGGAAGUUGCAAGGAAAGUUAUUUGCCUUUUUGUGAAAAGAUAUGAGUUGAAUGUCUUUCAGUUGGUCAUGUGUGUGGGUUUAGAUUUGCACGUACAAAGGAGGUACUACUGUUACUGCUGCUUAUUUAUUUGUUUUUCUUUUAGCAGGAUUAUGUCAAAAGUUUGAAAGUAUUCUAACCAAUGAUAGACCUAUAGAGCCAUGGAAGAACGAUUAAAUUUUGGAGGGGAAUAUACAGAUUUUGGUUCAGCUUGAAAAAAUGAAAACACCCUUUAUCUUAUAAUUAGAUAUUUAAAAAUAAAUAAAUCACGUCAUGACA
ensembl:lncRNA mucin-22-like